UACGUAGGGGUCUAGCGUUGUCCGGAAUCAUUGGGCGUAAAGAGCUCGUAGGCGGUUCGGCAAGUCGGAUGUGAAAUCUCCUCGCUCAACGGGGAGAGGCCAUUGGAAACGGUCGAGCUGGAGGGCAGUAGAGGCAGGCGGAAUUCCGGGUGGAGUGGUGAAAUGCGUAGAGAUCCGGAGGAACACCAGAGGCGAAGGCGGCCUGCUGGGCUGCACCUGACGCUGAGCCGCGAAAGCCAGGGGAGCGAACGGG
rnacentral:rRNA from 1 species